GCCUGGGUGGCUCAGUCAGUCGAGCGUCUGACUUCGACUCAGGUCAUGACCUUGCAGUUCGUGAGUUCUAGCCCCACGUCGGGCU
rnacentral:tRNA from 1 species